rnacentral:rRNA from 1 species
AGAGUUUGAUCAUGGCUCAGGAUGAACGCUAGCGGCAGGCCUAAUACAUGCAAGUCGAACGGAUCUGGAGACUUCGGUUUCCAGAUUAGUGGCGCACGGGUGCGUAACGCGUAUGCAACCUACCUUUUAUUGGGGGAUAGCCCGUCGAAAGACGGAUUAAUACCGCAUAAUAUCACCUGAUGGCAUCUGAAGGUGAUUAAAGCUACGGCGAUAGAAGAUGGGCAUGCGUGACAUUAGCUAGUUGGUUGAGGUAACGGCUCACCAAGGCGACGAUGUCUAGGGGUUCUGAGAGGAUGAUCCCCCACACUGGUACUGAGAUACGGACCAGACUCCUACGGGAGGCAGCAGUAGGGAAUAUUGGGCAAUGGACGCAAGUCUGACCCAGCCAUGCCGCGUGCAGGAUGAAGGCCUUCUGGGUUGUAAACUGCUUUUAUCUAGGAAGAAAAAACUCUUGCGAGAGGAACUGACGGUACUAGAUGAAUAAGCACCGGCUAACUCCGUGCCAGCAGCCGCGGUAAUACGGAGGGUGCAAGCGUUGUCCGGAUUUAUUGGGUUUAAAGGGUGCGUAGGCGGCCUUAUAAGUCAGUGGUGAAAGCCCAUCGCUCAACGAUGGAAUUGCCAUUGAUACUGUAAGGCUUGAGUACAGACGAGGUAGGCGGAAUUGAUGGUGUAGCGGUGAAAUGCAUAGAUACCAUCAAGA